UACAGACUCCCUGACACGUUUUUCAGAAACUGAGGAAUUCUUCAGCUAAAGAGAGGAUGACUGCCUGCCAAUCCUGACCAAAGCGUUUAUUUCAGAGGGUGGCACCCAGAUUUUUACACACUACUCCAGCCGAGGCCUCACCAAUGCCAAGCAAAGCAAGACAAUUACCUCCUGCGUCUUACAUACAACGCUUCUAAUACACUCCAGAAUUAUAUUAGCCUUUUUCGCAAAAGCA